AGUGAACGCUGGCGGUAGACCUAACACAUGCAAGUCGAACGGCAGCACAUUAAGAGCUUGCUCUUACGGGUGGCGAGUGGCGGACGGGUGAGGCAUACAUCGUAAUCUACUUUUUCGUGGGGGAUAACUUAGGGAAACUUACGCUACUACCUCAUACCACCUACCGUUGAAAGCAGGUGAUCUUCGUACCUUGCCCUCUUUCAUGAGCCGAUGUCGGAUUUGCUAGUUGGGGGGGUAAAGGCCCACCAAGCCGACGAUCCGUAGCUGGUCUGAGUGGAGGAUCAGCCAAACUGGAACGGAGAAACGGUCAAGACUCCUACGGGAGGCAGAAGUGGGGAAUAUUGGACAAUGGGCGCAAGCCUGAUCAAGACAGACCGCGUGGGGGAAGAAGGCCUUCGGGUUGUAAAGCCCUUUUGUUGGGAAAGAAAAGCAGCAGGUUAAUAACCCGAUGUUGUGACGGUACCCAAAGAAUAAGCACCGGCUAACUUCGUG
rnacentral:rRNA from 1 species